GCAGGUGAGUUAUACUGUCAGUGGCGUAGGAGGUGAAAGGGGUGUAACUGUAGCAGAGGUAAGCUGCAGGUGAGUUAUACUGUCAGUGGCGUAGGAGGUGAAAGGGGUGUGACUGUAGCAGAGGUAAGCUGCAGGUGAGUUCUACUGUGGGGUGUGACUGUAGCAGAGGUAAGCUGCAGGUGAGUUCUAGUAGCCUCUGAUGUCAUCCCCCCCGAGACUUAGUGUCUCCGGUCUGUCAUGAAUGUAUCUACAGUAUAUUUUAAUACCGUAAGCAUCUCAGCUGCG
rnacentral:lncRNA from 1 species